AACGCGAAGAACCUUACCAGGCCUUGACAUGCAGAGAACUUUCCAGAGAUGGAUUGGUGCCUUCGGGAACUCUGACACAGGCGCUGCAUGGCUGUCGUCAGCUCGUGUCGUGAGAUGUUGGGUUAAGUCCCGUAACGAGCGCAACCCUUGUCCUUAGUUACCAGCACGUAAUGGUGGGCACUCUAAGGAGACUGCCGGUGACAAACCGGAGGAAGGUGGGGAUGACGUCAAAUCAUCAUGCCCCUUAUGAUUUGGGCUACACACGUGCUACAAUGGACAAUACAAAGGGCAGCUAAACCGCGAGGUCAUGCAAAUCCCAUAAAGUUGUUCUCAGUUCGGAUUGUAGUCUGCAACUCGACUACAUGAAGCUGGAAUCGCUAGUAAUCGUAGAUCAGCAUGCUACGGUGAAUACGUUCCCGGGUCUUGUACACACCG
rnacentral:rRNA from 1 species